rnacentral:hammerhead_ribozyme from 1 species
AUCCAGCUGACGAAUCCCAAAAUAGGGCGAAACGCGCAUUGUCCUGGAU